rnacentral:rRNA from 1 species
CGAAGGGGCUAGCGUUGCUCGGAAUCACUGGGCGUAAGGGGCGCGUAGGCGGCCAUUCAAGUCGGGGGUGAAAGCCUGUGGCUCAACCACAGAAUUGCCUUCGAUACUGUUUGGCUUGAGUAUGGUAGAGGUCGGUGGAACUGCGAGUGUAGAGGUGAAAUUCGUAGAUAUUCGCAAGAACACCAGUGGCGAAGGCGGCCGACUGGACCAUUACUGACGCUGAGGCGCGAAAGCGUGGGGGAGCAAACAGGAUU